AACGAACGCUGGCGGCAGGCUUAACACAUGCAAGUCGAACGCGUGCAGCAAUGUACGAGUGGCGCACGGGUGAGUAACGAGUGGAUAUCUGCCUUUUGGUUCGGAAUAACCCCGGGAAACUGGGGCUAAUACCGGAUGGUUCCUACGGGAUAAAGAUUUAUCGCCAAAAGAUGAGUCCGCGUCCGAUUAGCUAGUUGGUGAGGUAAUGGCUCACCAAGGCGACGAUCGGUAGCUGGUCUGAGAGGACGAUCAGCCACACUGGGACUGAGACACGGCCCAGACUCCUACGGGAGGCAGCAGUGGGGAAUAUUGGACAAUGGGGGCAACCCUGAUCCAGCCAUGCCGCGUGAGUGAUGAAGGCCUUCGGGUUGUAAAGCUCUUUUGGCGGGGACGAUGAUGACGGUACCCGCAGAAUAAGCCCCGGCUAACUUCGUG
rnacentral:rRNA from 1 species